UGCUCUUCCUUUCUCCACCAUUGUGGUGUGUGCAGUGGACUCUGUUGCUUUCCAUGUCUUCUCACAAGACUUUCAGGAUCAAGCGAUUCCUGGCCAAGAAACAGAAACAAAAUCAUCCCAUUCCCCAGUGGAUUCGGAUGAAAACUGGUAGUAAAAUCCAGUACAACUCCAAGAGGAGCCACUGGAGAAGAACCAAGCUGAAUCUAUGAGGAAUUGCACAUGAGAUGGCACACAUGUUUAUACUGAAUCAUGGUCACCAUCAUCUUACCAUUAUCAAGUUGAAAAUAUCUUCAUAAUCGGGAAAUCGGAC